AAAAAAAAUCGAAAUUUACCAAAGCAAAACAAUAACAGUAACAACAGCCUUUCCCAAAGUCCCAAGUUAGUUGGGUAGGCUAUAUAAAUCCUCCAUUCCACCACAUGAAGAUCCAUGUGAAGAGUUUAGGAAAGAAAACUGGCUAAUGAAGAUGUUGAAAACCAACGAAAUCAAAAUUAACCAAAGAAAGUCAUGACAAGAACAACUAUGCGUUAAUCUAAACUAGUUGGA
rnacentral:misc_RNA from 1 species